rnacentral:rRNA from 1 species
CCUACGGGGGGCAGCAGCAAGGAAUCUUCCGCAAUGGGCGCAAGCCUGACGGAGCAACGCCGCGUGCGGGAGGACGCCCUUCGGGGUGUAAACCGCUUUUCUCUGGGACGAACGCGCCCCCCGCGAGGGGCGGCGUCUGACGGUACCGGGGGAAGAAGGCCCGGCUAACUACGUGCCAGCAGCCGCGGUAAGACGUAGGGGCCGAGCGUUGUCCGGAGUUACUGGGCGUAAAGGGCGCGCAGGCGGCGCGGUGCGCCCGGCGUGAAAGCCCCCGG